rnacentral:rRNA from 1 species
UACGUAGGGUGCGAGCGUUGUCCGGAAUUACUGGGCGUAAAGAGCUCGUAGGUGGUUUGUCGCGUUGUUCGUGAAAACUCACAGCUUAACUGUGGGCGUGCGGGCGAUACGGGCAGACUGGAGUACUGCAGGGGAGACUGGAAUUCCUGGUGUAGCGGUGGAAUGCGCAGAUAUCAGGAGGAACACCGGUGGCGAAGGCGGGUCUCUGGGCCGAAACUGACGCUGAGGAGCGAAAGCGUGGGUAGCAAACAGG